GGAGCGGUGCUCGAGUGGUUGAAGAGGCGGCACUGGAAAUGCCGUAUACGGUAUCCCCGUAUCGAGGGUUCGAAUCCCUCCCGCUCCGC
rnacentral:tRNA from 1 species